GCAGACACAUUCCAGCCAAUCAGCAGCAGACCCUCCCUCCCAGACCCUCCCACCUCCUGGACAGCAUCCAUUGUGAAGCUGCAUUCUUAGUGAGCUGUCCAGGAGGUGGGAGGGUCUGGGAGGGAGGGUCUGCUGCUGAUUGGCUGGAUUGUGUCU